GUCAGAAGCACGAGCAUUCAAAUGCAUGCACGGCCGAGUCAAAGACAUCGCCUGGAAUCCUCGCUGUAUUUUGGAAAAGUCAUCAUUCGGGGCCUCCGUGCCCCCCUUCUCAGUCUGGGCUCCAAGAAUCAGCCGCUCCAUAAGAAGAAGGGCGGGUCUUCCGGGGGUUUCUCCCGUGUUCAUUUUAAACGUAAGACUAUCGCAAUAGACGCAUUUCACUAUCGAAAAAAAGUACUAUUGCAAUAAUGAUAAUUAUCGUUUUAUCGCCCAGCCCUACUCUUCGUUAUAAUCACAAGUUCUUGAGGGCUGUCAAAUAUUUGGUUUUGAAUAUAUAUAGACUGUAGGAUAUAGUUAUUCUUUUAGAAAAGUGUCAUCUAAAUGAAUCAAAAGUAACAACUUUCUUUCUUUUUCAGAAAACACCAGUCUGACAUCCAACAAAGAGGGUCAUUGGUCAUCAUCAAGUUAGUAAGUUAGGGUUUUAAGUUAGCGUUUUUCUUUGGUUUUUUUCCCC
rnacentral:lncRNA from 1 species